UACGGAGGAUCCGAGCGUUAUCCGGAUUUAUUGGGUUUAAAGGGAGCGUAGGCGGAUGCUUAAGUCAGUUGUGAAAGUUUGCGGCUCAACCGUAAAAUUGCAGUUGAUACUGGGUGUCUUGAGUACAGUAGAGGUAGGCGGAAUUCGUGGUGUAGCGGUGAAAUGCUUAGAUAUCACGAAGAACUCCGAUUGCGAAGGCAGCCUGCUGGACUGUAACUGACGCUGAUGCUCGAAAGUGUGGGUAUCAAACAGG
rnacentral:rRNA from 2 species